rnacentral:rRNA from 1 species
CUACGGUGAAUACGUUCCCGGGUCUUGUACACACCGCCCGUCACAUCACGAAAGUUAUCAACACCUUAAGUUCCGCCUUUGAGCGGACCCACGGUGGGGGUAAUGAUUGGGGUG